rnacentral:rRNA from 1 species
UGGGGAAUAUUGGACAAUGGGCGCAAGCCUGAUCCAGCCAUGCCGCGUGAGUGAUGACGGCCCUAGGGUUGUAAAGCUCUUUCGGCGGGGACGAUAAUGACGGUACCCGCAGAAGAAGCCCCGGCUAACUUCGUGCCAGCAGCCGCGGUAAUACGAAGGGGGCUAGCGUUGUUCGGAAUCACUGGGCGUAAAGGGCGCGUAGGCGGCCUUGUCAGUCGGGGGUGAAAGCCUGUGGCUCAACCACAGAAUUGCCUUCGAUACUGCGAGGCUUGAGACCGGAAGAGGUCAGUGGAACUGCGAGUGUAGAGGUGAAAUUCGUAGAUAUUCGCAAGAACACCAGUGGCGAAGGCGGCUGACUGGUCCGGUUCUGACGCUGAGGCGCGAAAGCGUGGGGAGCAAACAG